AGCGAACGCUGGCGGCAGGCUUAACACAUGCAAGUCGAGCGGGCGUAGCAAUACGUCAGCGGCAGACGGGUGAGUAACGCGUGGGAACGUACCUUUUGGUUCGGAACAACACAGGGAAACUUGUGCUAAUACCGAAUAAGCCCUUACGGGGAAGAUUUAUCGCCGAAAGAUCGGCCCGCGUUCUGAUUAGCUAGUUGGUGAGGUAAUGGCUCACCAAGGCGACGAUCAGUAGCUGGUCUGAGAGGAUCGAUCAGCCACAUUGGGACUGAGACACGGCCCAAACUCCUACGGGAGGCAGCAGUGGGGAAUAUUGGACAAUGGGGGCAACCCUGAUCCAGCCAUGCCGCGUGAGUGAUGAAGGCCCUAGGGUUGUAAAGCUCUUUGUGCGGGAAGAUAAUGACGGUACCGCAAGAUAAGCCCGGCUAACUUCGUGCCAGCAGCCGCGGUAAAGUGACUACUG
rnacentral:rRNA from 1 species